UACGGAGGGUGCGAGCGUUGUUCGGAAUCACUGGGCGUAAAGCGCGUGUAGGCGGCCCUGCAAGUCGGAUGUGAAAUCCCACGGCUCAACCGUGGAAGUGCAUUCGAAACUGCAGGGCUAGAGUCCUGGAGAGGAAGGUGGAAUGCUUGGUGUAGAGGUGAAAUUCGUAGAUAUCAAGCGGAACACCGGUGGCGAAGGCGGCCUUCUGGACAGUGACUGACGCUGAGACGCGAAAGCGCGGGGAGCAAACAGG
rnacentral:rRNA from 1 species